rnacentral:rRNA from 1 species
AAAUUGAAGAGUUUGAUCAUGGCUCAGAUUGAACGCUGGCGGCAGGCCUAACACAUGCAAGUCGAACGGUAACAGGAAGAAGCUUGCUUCUUUGCUGACGAGUGGCGGACGGGUGAGUAAUGUCUGGGAAACUGCCUGAUGGAGGGGGAUAACUACUGGAAACGGUAGCUAAUACCGCAUAACGUCGCAAGACCAAAGAGGGGGACCUUCGGGCCUCUUGCCAUCGGAUGUGCCCAGAUGGGAUUAGCUAGUAGGUGGGGUAACGGCUCACCUAGGCGACGAUCCCUAGCUGGUCUGAGAGGAUGACCAGCCACACUGGAACUGAGACACGGUCCAGACUCCUACGGGAGGCAGCAGUGGGGAAUAUUGCACAAUGGGCGCAAGCCUGAUGCAGCCAUGCCGCGUGUAUGAAGAAGGCCUUCGGGUUGUAAAGUACUUUCAGCGGGGAGGAAGGGAGUAAAGUUAAUACCUUUGCUCAUUGACGUUACCCGCAGAAGAAGCACCGGCUAACUCCGUGCCAGCAGCCGCGGUAAUACGGAGGGUGCAAGCGUUAAUCGGAAUUACUGGGCGUAAAGCGCACGCAGGCGGUUUGUUAAGUCAGAUGUGAAAUCCCCGGGCUCAACCUGGGAACUGCAUCUGAUACUGGCAAGCUUGAGUCUCGUAGAGGGGGGUAGAAUUCCAGGUGUAGCGGUGAAAUGCGUAGAGAUCUGGAGGAAUACCGGUGGCGAAGGCGGCCCCCUGGACGAAGACUGACGCUCAGGUGCGAAAGCGUGGGGAGCAAACAGGAUUAGAUACCCUGGUAGUCCACGCCGUAAACGAUGUCGACUUGGAGGUUGUGCCCUUGAGGCGUGGCUUCCGGAGCUAACGCGUUAAGUCGACCGCCUGGGGAGUACGGCCGCAAGGUUAAAACUCAAAUGAAUUGACGGGGGCCCGCACAAGCGGUGGAGCAUGUGGUUUAAUUCGAUGCAACGCGAAGAACCUUACCUGGUCUUGACAUCCACAGAACUUUCCAGAGAUGGAUUGGUGCCUUCGGGAACUGUGAGACAGGUGCUGCAUGGCUGUCGUCAGCUCGUGUUGUGAAAUGUUGGGUUAAGUCCCGCAACGAGCGCAACCCUUAUCCUUUGUUGCCAGCGGUCCGGCCGGGAACUCAAAGGAGACUGCCAGUGAUAA